UCUUUACAUAAUCCCCUAUUUCUCUGAGGUUUUGUUCAUUUAUUUUCCUUCUUUUUUCUCUGUUCUUGUCUGACUGUCUUAUUUCAGAAAGGCAGCCAUCAAGCUCUGAGAUUCUUUCCUCCACUUGGUCUAUUCUGCUACUAAUACUUGAGCUCAGCCCAGUUCAGAACUCCUGUUGGAGAGAUGAUUCAGCUGUUUGCAGGAAAAAAGGCCCUCUGACUUUCACCCCCAGAUGAGACCAUCUAGUUGCGGGAAAGCAAGCUCAGGGAUCCCACAAAUUCUGCGCUAUGGAGUGGACCAGCCUUUCAACCCCCACCAUCAUCAGUCAUUGCCUCAGAGCAGUCCACAGGAAACAUAACCUUGACCCAAAUAAGGUAAUGGAACCAGUAGGGAUCAUCAAUUACACUUCCCAGCGCAGAAAAUCUGA